GACGAACUGUCCUAACGUUGUUCGGAAUCACUGGGCUUAAAGGGCGCGUAGGCGGUCCGACAAGUCAGGGGUGAAAUCCUGCAGCUUAACUGCAGAAGUGCCUCUGAUACUGCCGGUCUGGAGGGAGAUAGGGGUGUGCGGAACUUCCAGUGGAGCGGUGAAAUGCGUUGAUAUUGGAAGGAACGCCGGAGGCGAAAGCGGCGCACUGGACCACUACUGACGCUGAGGAACGAAAGCUAGGGGAGCAAACAGGAUUAGAAACCCGAGUAGU
rnacentral:rRNA from 1 species